ensembl:lncRNA
CACGAACUCACUGGAUUAGGAGGUGGACAAACGAAGAUCUUCUGGCGGGACACCAGCAGCAGUGGUUUGGAAGAAAUGCUGGUAAUAGCGCAUGGAUGCUUUUGUUGUUGCUGAGCAUUGCUUACACGGAAUACGUUGCUAUGCAGCGAGGGAGGCCUUUAAUUCACCUGGUGACAGAGCUGAGAGGAAGGAAGUGGAAUAACUGUAGCUCCAGCAGAAGCUAAUGCCAGUAUCACCAUACCAUUCAGUCUCCUUGACAGGACCUGGACUCCUCUCUAUUCCUCUUUUCAUCUCAAACUCAUUGACCAUCUCCUCCCAUCUGUCUCGCUUGGAGAAAUAAACAGCAUCCCCUUCUAGCAGAUGGACCUGGGGGAGAUCAGGAAGGUCCGACACAUCAGCAGCGCGCUGCUGGAGAUCAGGGUCAGUCUCUGCAACCAUGCUGUACGUGUGGCUGCAGAGUCCUCGUCUGAGGCAUCGCUCCUGAAGUAGACAGAGUCAUAGUCCUCUGUGUCAGUGCUAUCGGAGACUGCUGCAAGCGUGAUGGCCUCUGAUCUCCUUGGGAGAAAGGAGAGAAAAAGUGAUACCCGCAUCCUGCCGCUGGGGUGACCUGGCUGGCCCUGCGCCUUCAGAAAGGAACAUCUCUUCUGGACAUGUUCACGUACUGGCUAAGUUGGGUUUGUCCAGCAAAAAGUAGUAUCUUCCCACUCUGCAGAAACUGGAAUUUUGAACAAAUUUUGGGCACGUUACCUCAGAAUCCUUCAUCCAAGCGUUUGUUUAUUCUGAAUUUAUCCUGGGCUCAUUCAGUCAGGAAAAGAGGAGGCUCAGGAGAGACCGUAUCCCUCUCUACAGCUACCUGAAAGGAGGUUGUAGCGAGGUGGAGGUCAGCCCCUUCUCCCAGGUAAACAGCGACAGGAUGAGAGGUAAUGGCCUGAAGUUGCUCCAGGGAGGGGAGGUUCACGUUGGAUAUCAGGAAAAAAGUCUUCUCAGAAAGAAAUAAUGCAUAUUGGAACAGGCUGCCAGGGGAGAUAGCGAUGUCACCGUCCCCGAAGGUGUUCAGAAACAUGCAGAUGUGGCACUGAGGGAUGUGGUUCUGUGGGCAUGGUGGUGGUGGGCUGAUGGACUAGAUGAUCUUAUAGGUCUUUUCCAACCGUAAUGAUUCUAUGAUUUUAUGAUUCUACAAUGUACGCGUAGGCUCUAGAGAUGUGCAGGUUGGUCAGCACAGACCUCCCCCACCUUGGGCCCGCUCCACGAAGAUCUAUACCAAAGCAUCUGGAAGUAAAGCUCAACGCUUGCCGCUCUCCUCCUCUAACGCUGAACUUUGUGAGACAGCACAGCAGUGUCUGAGGGACCGUAAGCCUGCUCUACUCCAAGCAGUCAGCCAAGCAGUCGACGUGGUAAUGCGUGGCUCUGUGCUGGCCCAUUUAUCCUUCUUUCAUUGCAUGUGGUGUAGAAGACUUUUGGGUCUUGAUUAGACACAAAGGACUGCUCUGGAU